CCGCUGAACUUAAGCAUAUCAAUAAGCGGAGGAAAAGAAACCAACAGGGAUUGCCCUAGUAACGGCGAGUGAAGCGGCAACAGCUCAAAUUUGAAACCUGGCGCUUGCGUCCGGAUUGUAAUUUGUAGAGGAUGCUUCUGGGCAGCGGCCGUUCUAAGUUCCUUGGAACAGGACGUCAUAGAGGGUGAGAAUCCCGUAUGUGACCGGCGCGCACCCUCCACGUAGCUCCUUCGACGAGUCGAGUUGUUUGGGAAUGCAGCUCUAAAUGGGAGGUAAAUUUCUUCUAAAGCUAAAUAUUGGCCAGAGACCGAUAGCGCACAAGUAGAGUGAUCGAAAGAUGAAAAGCACUUUGGAAAGAGAGUUAAAAAGCACGUGAAAUUGUUGAAAGGGAAGCGCUUCCAACCAGACUCCGCGGCGGUGUUCCGCCGGUCUUCUGACCGGUCCACUCGCCGCCGUGGGGCCAACAUCGUCUGGGGCCGCCGGAUAAGACCGGAGGAAUGUAGCUCAUUGAGUGUUAUAGCCUCCGGUGAUGCGGCGCGUCCCGGGCGAGGUCCGCGCUUCGGCAAGGAUGUUGGCGUAAUGGUUGGCAGCGGCCCGUCUUGAAACACGGACCAAGGAGUCUAACAUCUAUGCGAGUGUUCGGGUGUCAAACCCCUACGCGUAAUGAAAGUGAACGGAGGUGGGAGCUUCGGCGCACCAUCGACCGAUCCUGAUGUCCUCGGAUGGAUUUGAGUAAGAGCAUAGCUGUUGGGACCCGAAAGAUGGUGAACUAUGCCUGAAUAGGGUGAAGCCAGAGGAAACUCUGGUGGAGGCUCGCAGCGGUUCUGACGUGCAAAUCGAUCGUCAAAUUUGGGUAUAGGGGCGAAAGACUAAUCGAACCAUCUAGAAGCUGGUUCCUGCCGA
rnacentral:rRNA from 1 species